CCUGCCUCAGCCUCCCAAAGUGCUGGGAUUACAGGUGUGAACCACAGUGCCCAGCCACUCCUAUUGUUUGGUUCUUUGUACUUUGUGGUUCCAGCAAACUAAUACAGUGAUAUUAAAAAUUUUCUCUACUAUUAGAAAUACAAUUUUAGGUGGGGGAAAUAUCACCUUCACCAAAUGCAGCGCAUUUGUGUGUUUUAACAUUCAGAGAAUUCUACCUUUUUGGGCACUUGAGGUGACCUGCCAAUUAACUAAAGUCUUAAAGUAAACUUUUUUUUCCUUUGUAAAUAUGUCUAAAUAUACUACCCAUUGGAAAUUUAAAAGUAGAGUACUUUUCUGAGUACAGUACUACUUUUAUCUUACACAGUAUUUCACAGCUGUGAUCUCUGGAGCAUAAGCCAACAGCAGGAAAAAAUAGUUUGUAUGAGUUUCAUGAAAUAUGUCUUUGGGUUUUCGUAAAUAAUUUUAACUCAAACAAAAUUGCUUCUUGCCAUAAAAAA